rnacentral:rRNA from 1 species
UACGUAGGGGGCUAGCGUUGUCCGGAUUUAUUGGGCGUAAAGAGCGUGUAGGCGGCCAGGUAGGUCUGGUGUGAAAACUCGAGGCUUAACCUCGAGAUGUCAUCGGAAACCAUCUGGCUAGAGUCCGGAAGAGGAGAGUGGAAUUCCUGGUGUAGCGGUGAAAUGCGCAGAUAUCAGGAAGAACACCAAUGGCGAAAGCAGCUCUCUGGGACGGUAUUGACGCUGAGACGCGAAAGCGUGGGGAGCGAACAGG